AGGACUCAGGAAGAGAUAGACCCAUAAUGAUGCUGCCUCAAAACUCGUGGCAUAUUGAUUUUGGAAGAUGCUGCUGUCAUCAGAACCUUUUCUCUGCUGUGGUAACUUGCAUCCUGCUCCUGAAUUCCUGCUUUCUCAUCAGCAGUUUUAAUGGAACAGAUUUGGAGUUGAGGCUGGUCAAUGGAGACGGUCCCUGCUCUGGGACAGUGGAGGUGAAAUUCCAGGGACAGUGGGGGACUGUGUGUGAUGAUGGGUGGAACACUACUGCCUCAACUGUCGUGUGCAAACAGCUUGGAUGUCCAUUUUCUUUCGCCAUGUUUCGUUUUGGACAAGCCGUGACUAGACAUGGAAAAAUUUGGCUUGAUGAUGUUUCCUGUUAUGGAAAUGAGUCAGCUCUCUGGGAAUGUCAACACCGGGAAUGGGGAAGCCAUAACUGUUAUCAUGGAGAAGAUGUUGGUGUGAACUGUUAUGGUGAAGCCAAUCUGGGUUUGAGGCUAGUGGAUGGAAACAACUCCUGUUCAGGGAGAGUGGAGGUGAAAUUCCAAGAAAGGUGGGGAACUAUAUGUGAUGAUGGGUGGAACUUGAAUACUGCUGCCGUGGUGUGCAGGCAACUAGGAUGUCCAUCUUCUUUUAUUUCUUCUGGAGUUGUUAAUAGCCCUGCUGUAUUGCGCCCCAUUUGGCUGGAUGACAUUUUAUGCCAGGGGAAUGAGUUGGCACUCUGGAAUUGCAGACAUCGUGGAUGGGGAAAUCAUGACUGCAGUCACAAUGAGGAUGUCACAUUAACUUGUUAUGAUAGUAGUGAUCUUGAACUAAGGCUUGUAGGUGGAACUAACCGCUGUAUGGGGAGAGUAGAGCUGAAAAUCCAAGGAAGGUGGGGGACCGUAUGCCACCAUAAGUGGAACAAUGCUGCAGCUGAUGUCGUAUGCAAGCAGUUGGGAUGUGGAACCGCACUUCACUUCGCUGGCUUGCCUCAUUUGCAGUCAGGGUCUGAUGUUGUAUGGCUUGAUGGUGUCUCCUGCUCCGGUAAUGAAUCUUUUCUUUGGGACUGCAGACAUUCCGGAACCGUCAAUUUUGACUGUCUUCAUCAAAACGAUGUGUCUGUGAUCUGCUCAGAUGGAGCAGAUUUGGAACUGCGACUAGCAGAUGGAAGUAACAAUUGUUCAGGGAGAGUAGAGGUGAGAAUUCAUGAACAGUGGUGGACAAUAUGUGACCAGAACUGGAAGAAUGAACAAGCCCUUGUGGUUUGUAAGCAGCUAGGAUGUCCGUUCAGCGUCUUUGGCAGUCGUCGUGCUAAACCUAGUAAUGAAGCUAGAGACAUUUGGAUAAACAGCAUAUCUUGCACUGGGAAUGAGUCAGCUCUCUGGGACUGCACAUAUGAUGGAAAAGCAAAGCGAACAUGCUUCCGAAGAUCAGAUGCUGGAGUAAUUUGUUCUGAUAAGGCAGAUCUGGACCUAAGGCUUGUCGGGGCUCAUAGCCCCUGUUAUGGGAGAUUGGAGGUGAAAUACCAAGGAGAGUGGGGGACUGUGUGUCAUGACAGAUGGAGCACAAGGAAUGCAGCUGUUGUUUGUAAACAAUUGGGAUGUGGAAAGCCUUUGCAUGUGUUUGGUAUGACCUAUUUUAAAGAAGCAUCAGGACCUAUUUGGCUGGAUGACGUUUCUUGCAUUGGAAAUGAGUCAAAUAUCUGGGACUGUGAACACAGUGGAUGGGGAAAGCAUAAUUGUGUACACAGAGAGGAUGUGAUUGUAACCUGCUCAGGUGAUGCAACAUGGGGCCUGAGGCUGGUGGGCGGCAGCAACCGCUGCUCGGGAAGACUGGAGGUGUACUUUCAAGGACGGUGGGGCACAGUGUGUGAUGACGGCUGGAACAGUAAAGCUGCAGCUGUGGUGUGUAGCCAGCUGGACUGCCCAUCUUCUAUCAUUGGCAUGGGUCUGGGAAACGCUUCUACAGGAUAUGGAAAAAUUUGGCUCGAUGAUGUUUCCUGUGAUGGAGAUGAGUCAGAUCUCUGGUCAUGCAGGAACAGUGGGUGGGGAAAUAAUGACUGCAGUCACAGUGAAGAUGUUGGAGUGAUCUGUUCUGAUGCAUCGGAUAUGGAGCUGAGGCUUGUGGGUGGAAGCAGCAGGUGUGCUGGAAAAGUUGAGGUGAAUGUCCAGGGUGCCGUGGGAAUUCUGUGUGCUAAUGGCUGGGGAAUGAACAUUGCUGAAGUUGUUUGCAGGCAACUUGAAUGUGGGUCUGCAAUCAGGGUCUCCAGAGAGCCUCAUUUCACAGAAAGAACAUUACACAUCUUAAUGUCGAAUUCUGGCUGCACUGGAGGGGAAGCCUCUCUCUGGGAUUGUAUACGAUGGGAGUGGAAACAGACUGCGUGUCAUUUAAAUAUGGAAGCAAGUUUGAUCUGCUCAGCCCACAGGCAGCCCAGGCUGGUUGGAGCUGAUAUGCCCUGCUCUGGACGUGUUGAAGUGAAACAUGCAGACACAUGGCGCUCUGUCUGUGAUUCUGAUUUCUCUCUUCAUGCUGCCAAUGUGCUGUGCAGAGAAUUAAACUGUGGAGAUGCCAUAUCUCUUUCUGUGGGAGAUCACUUUGGAAAAGGGAAUGGUCUAACUUGGGCCGAAAAGUUCCAGUGUGAAGGGAGUGAAACUCACCUUGCAUUAUGCCCCAUUGUUCAACAUCCGGAAGACACUUGUAUCCACAGCAGAGAAGUUGGAGUUGUCUGUUCCCGAUAUACAGAUGUCCGACUUGUGAAUGGCAAAUCCCAGUGUGACGGGCAAGUGGAGAUCAACGUGCUUGGACACUGGGGCUCACUGUGUGACACCCACUGGGACCCAGAAGAUGCCCGUGUUCUAUGCAGACAGCUCAGCUGUGGGACUGCUCUCUCAACCACAGGAGGAAAAUAUAUUGGAGAAAGAAGUGUUCGUGUGUGGGGACACAGGUUUCAUUGCUUAGGGAAUGAGUCACUUCUGGAUAACUGUCAAAUGACAGUUCUUGGAGCACCUCCCUGUAUCCAUGGAAAUACUGUCUCUGUGAUCUGCACAGGAAGCCUGACCCAGCCACUGUUUCCAUGCCUCGCAAAUGUAUCUGACCCAUAUUUGUCUGCAGUUCCAGAGGGCAGUGCUUUGAUCUGCUUAGAGGACAAACGGCUCCGCCUAGUGGAUGGGGACAGCCGCUGUGCCGGGAGAGUAGAGAUCUAUCACGACGGCUUCUGGGGCACCAUCUGUGAUGACGGCUGGGACCUGAGCGAUGCCCACGUGGUGUGUCAAAAGCUGGGCUGUGGAGUGGCCUUCAAUGCCACGGUCUCUGCUCACUUUGGGGAGGGGUCAGGGCCCAUCUGGCUGGAUGACCUGAACUGCACAGGAAUGGAGUCCCACUUGUGGCAGUGCCCUUCCCGCGGCUGGGGGCAGCACGACUGCAGGCACAAGGAGGACGCAGGGGUCAUCUGCUCAGAAUUCACAGCCUUGAGGCUCUACAGUGAAACUGAAACAGAGAGCUGUGCUGGGAGAUUGGAAGUCUUCUAUAACGGGACCUGGGGCAGCGUCGGCAGGAGGAACAUCACCACAGCCAUAGCAGGCAUUGUGUGCAGGCAGCUGGGCUGUGGGGAGAAUGGAGUUGUCAGCCUCGCCCCUUUAUCUAAGACAGGCUCUGGUUUCAUGUGGGUGGAUGACAUUCAGUGUCCUAAAACGCAUAUCUCCAUAUGGCAGUGCCUGUCUGCCCCAUGGGAGCGAAGAAUCUCCAGCCCAGCAGAAGAGACCUGGAUCACAUGUGAAGAUAGAAUAAGAGUGCGUGGAGGAGACACCGAGUGCUCUGGGAGAGUGGAGAUCUGGCACGCAGGCUCCUGGGGCACAGUGUGUGAUGACUCCUGGGACCUGGCCGAGGCGGAAGUGGUGUGUCAGCAGCUGGGCUGUGGCUCUGCUCUGGCUGCCCUGAGGGACGCUUCGUUUGGCCAGGGAACUGGAACCAUCUGGUUGGAUGACAUGCGGUGCAAAGGAAAUGAGUCAUUUCUAUGGGACUGUCACGCCAAACCCUGGGGACAGAGUGACUGUGGACACAAGGAAGAUGCUGGCGUGAGGUGCUCUGGACAGUCGCUGAAAUCACUGAAUGCCUCCUCAGGUCAUUUAGCACUUAUUUUAUCCAGUAUCUUUGGGCUCCUUCUCCUGGUUCUGUUUAUUCUAUUUCUCACGUGGUGCCGAGUUCAGAAACAAAAACAUCUGCCCCUCAGAGUUUCAACCAGAAGGAGGGGUUCUCUCGAGGAGAAUUUAUUCCAUGAGAUGGAGACCUGCCUCAAGAGAGAGGACCCACAUGGGACAAGAACCUCAGAUGACACCCCCAACCAUGGUUGUGAAGAUGCUAGCGACACAUCGCUGUUGGGAGUUCUUCCUGCCUCUGAAGCCACAAAAUGACUUUAGACUUCCAGGGCUCACCAGAAUCUUGAUAUGUGGGUGAUGUUAAGCCCUCCUGACCCAGCAAGUUGAAAACUCACCAUGAAGAGCAGCGGUCAAAGGAACUAGGGAAAUCCUACAGUGUGAUCAGUUUUUCUGCUGCAGACACAUCAAGGAUUUGCAACAAAUGCUGAACACAGGUGCUUACUAUUUAUUAAUAACAGUUUGUGUGAUGACUGCAAAUGCCAGAGGUUACCUCUGAACAAAGCUUGGAUACAAUUACAAAGUGAGGUUUUUCAGAAUAUUUUCAGGUAAGUGGUUUAUGAGUGUGAGGAGUGCAGCAGUUCAAGAAAGCUAAGUUCUAUUUAUAGAUACAUAUAUAUUUAACAUUUCAAUCAGACUGAUCCUAUUUAUUACACAGACAGUCCUUGGUUUAUGGAUGACCACUUACUCCAUUAAACCUAUACCAUUAGAAGCAUGUAGCAGGGGAACAAAUGGAGUUCCUAGAGAAUAUGUGGUUUCAAAGCAGUUUGGAGGGUCUCAACGGAGGAAGGACUGUGUAUCCUGGGAGAUCAAAUCUCAGGAAAGGGCUGAGCAUGGUGGCUUACACCUAUAACCCCAAGACUUUGGGAGGCCAAGGUAGAAGGAUAACUUCAGCCCCGGAGUUUGAAACCAGCCUGGUCAACAUGGUGAGACCCCAUCUCUACAAAGACUUAAAAAGAAAAUUAACCAGGGUGCAGUUGUGCACACCUGUAGUACUAGCAACUUGAGAGCCUGAGGCAGGAGGAUCGACUGAGCCCAGCAGUUUGAGAGGUUACAGUGAGCUAUAACUGCACCACGGCACUCCACCCUGGGUGACAGAGCAAGUCUCCAUCUCAAAAAAACAAAACAAAGCCAAAAGCCAAAAACCUCUCAGGAAGGAUUGAUCUAUGUGAGGUCUUUUUUGCCUCAUAUUGUUUGCUUCUCUUUGAAAUGCUGUUUCAAACCCACCAGUUAGACAAUUACUGAGGUUAGUAAGCAUAAUUUAUAUUAUUUAUUGUUCAUACAUUGAUUCUAAUUGUUGGUUACUUCUGUUCAGCUGAAAUCAUUUAUAUUGAGAGAAUAAGAACAUGGUGGCAGGAAGAAACUAUUUUUGAGAAUGGAAUAGAUGGAGAGUAGAGUGAGUACAGGAGGUAAGAGUAUGGGAUCCACAGUGUCACUACAGAGGCUCACUGGUGUGUGAGAGGGAGGUACAGAUGUGGAACGAUGCUGACAAAUUGUUUUGAAAUUUUGUCACUUGUUGUGUCUGUAGAAACUUCCAUAAGGAAAAGCAAUUAUGAAAAUAGGGCUUCCUCCUAGAAUUAAGGCUAUUAUUGUCAUUGCCAGAGUUCCCUUUCCUUAGAUCCUAAAUAGGCUCAUGAGACUUGUUUGGGAACCUGGCCACAGUUUUGUUUCUUUCUUGCUUUUUCUUUGAGACAGAGUCUGUCUCUGUUGUCCAGGCUGGAGUACAGUGGUGCAAUCUUGGCUCACUCCAACCAUUGCCUCCCAGGUUCAAGCAGUUCUCCUGCCUCAGCCUCCUAAGUAGCUGAGAUUACAGGUGCCCGCCACCAUGCCAGGCUAAUUUUUGUAUUUUUAGUAGAGACAGGGUUUCACCAUGUUGGCCAGGCUGGUCUCGAACUCCUGACCUCAAGUGAUCCACCCACCUCGGCCUCCCAAAGUGCCGGGAUUACAGGCGUGAGCCACCGUGCCCAGCCCACCAUUUUCUAUUUGUCUUGUUUCUGUGAGAAAAGAUAUUCUGAAUUCCAUGACAGUUUUCCAUUCAGUGAAAUCUGUGGCUUUUGCCUAUGCAGUAUCUGUUCCUCCUUUUUAGUAACUAAUUUUCCUAUGGAGUAUUACCCUAACUUCUCUCUGGUGGGACUGACACCAACACCUACUUCCAAGGAUAGACGUAUGAUCCAAGUCUGACCGAUCAGCAUGUACCAGUCUCUGAACCACAUUGGUUAGAGAUGUGAUCUAAGCCUUUACAGUGGUCAAAUGGACAGAACUUGAAAAUAUGAUGUUGCUUCUUUAAUAAAUGACAUUCAUCUACCUCUCCGCGGAUUUGAUCUGGACUACUGACAACAGCCGAUUCAACAACUGCUGGAUGCUCAAUGAGUGCACUCUCCACUUCAAAUGGCCCAAUACGGUACCUGAAGAGGAAAAGAAGUUUUUGACCACCACAUCCUCCAAGUUAGAGAUCUCCCUCCCUGUCGAAUUGUUACCUCUUCAGAGUGGCAAAUAUACAAACCCAGAGGAUAUAAUGACAUCAUCAGCUCUGCCGACAAACCAGAAAUACCCAUCACUGUCCAUCACUCCUCUGUCUCCAGUGACAUAAAAAUCUCCUCUUAUCGUGGCAGCAGUUUUCUGUGGAUUGUCCUGGGAACCAAGGAUGACAUUUGGGGAUUAGUCUGGUCAGAACAGAGAUGGGUAUGGCACUCAUUAAGUGACUAGUACAUUACACAUCCUACUUAUAUAGGAAAUUUUUUUUUUUUUGAGACAGAGUCUCUCUCUGUUGCCUAGACUGGAGCCUGCAGCCUCGACCUCCUGGGCUCUAGUGAUCCUCUCACCUCAGCCUCCUGAGUAGCUGGGACCACAGACAUGUGCCACAACACCUGACUAACCGUAUUAUGUUUUUGUAGAGAUGGGUUCUCACUAUGUUGCCCAGGCUGGUCUUGAACUCUUGGGCUCAAGCCACCCUCCCACCUCGGCCUCCUAAAGUGCUGAAAUUAUAGCCGUGAGCCACUGUGCCUGGCUGGAAAUUAAAUUUUUUUAAAAGAUAGUUUGUAAUAUAAAAUACAAAAGGUCAUAAAGAGUAUAAUAAAAAGCCCCUCUUCUACCUCUAGCACCCCCCAACUGCACCCUCAUUCCAGCCUGUCCGGUUUUCCUUUCUGAGGAUAACCACUGCAACUGGUUUCUUACAUUUGGAAUUUCAUCUUUACAGUACUCUUGGGUGACAGAUGAUAGUCUCCCCAUUUUACAGUUGUGAAAGAUUUUGUUGCUUGCCCAAGAUUACAUAGCAAGACACGGUGGAAAUGAAAUUUGAACCCAAGUCUGUAUUAAGCAUGACCAGCACUUUCUAUCCUCAUACCACAUAUUUAGAGAAGAAACAGAAGGGCCGUGUAGGUUUGAGUCUGAGGGCAAUUUCCCCUUCUUUGCCAGGUGGUAGAACAUUGCCAUUUUCAUCUAUAAUCUGGAAUGAAAGAAAUAAUUGAUGGUCUUAAAAUUUUCUUUUCACAAAAAUGAAAGCAGCUUAUGAAUAGUUGUGCAAUGAAUAGCAGAAAAGGAAAACGUUCUCUCUCCUUUACUGAACCAGUCAGAUAUUUUCUCAACCUACCUGGACAUCAUAGGGCAGCAUUCCUUUCCCCAUUGAACCUGGUUUAAUUUCUUGGCCUUUCUGAUUGGCACAAAUCAUUCCCUAUUGAGAGGACAAGCUUUGUAUAAGUAUACAAAAGUUUAUAUUCUGAAACUAUAUCAUGGCAAUGAAAAUUAAGAUUUGAUUUUGACUGAUUUUCCUGGUAUGCAGGCGCACCUUCUGAAAUAUAUUAUUUGAAACCAGUAGUUCUCAAACUUCGGUGUGCAGUAGAAUCAAAUUUGAAAUUCUGGAACAUUGUUGAAACACAGAUUGAUGGGCCUUAUCCCAGAGUUUCUGAUUCAUUAGGUGUGGAAUGGGGUCUAAGAAUUUGGUAUUUCUACCAAAUCUACCUAGAUGAUGUUGAUGUUGCUUGGUUUGAGGGCCACACUUUGAAAACCACUCCUUGGACUCCGUUAAAUGCACCUUGGACUCAAUUUCCCAUGGACGCUCUCAGAGGAUUAUUCCCAGCACAGUGGAAAGAUGAGCUGCUCAGUUCUGAACCUCACCCACCCGCUAACGCCUCUGAGAUUUAUCCUGCAUAAGGGGGAGGCAGGAAUGAUGGAAUAAUCAUCAUUCUCCUUCAUCAAAACCUAACUGAGCAAUCUGCAAGUUUUGGUAACUACUGGCAAGGUGAGGUAUCCCGGGAAACUCUAUAAAAAUUUACAGUGGGAUGGGGGCACUUCAGGGGCUCAGUUGAAAAACCUGGGGCAGAAAGGCCCCCACAUAUACUAAACAUAAAUGCCCUUUAGAUAUACCACUUCCGUCUGUCCAUAGCCCUCAUAUAGCUCCAGCCCAGUUUGCACCCUCCACUGCUCCAGCACUUCUGGGUUGAGUGGCUCCCCUCCGGUCAAGCAGUGCCGCAGACUCUUGAAUUUAUAUCUGGAGAGACAGAGUUGCAUGGGUCUUUUCAAGAGGAACCUGAGUGCUUUCACUGCAAGACAAUUAGGACAUUCAAGCAGUAAGCAUAGCAGCUAGGAGAGGCAAGUCUUAGCAAAGUUCAUUCAACAAAUACUUGUUGAACACCUGCUAUAUUGCCAGACAUUGUUCUAGGCAUAUGGGGGCACAUUAGUGAUUAUAACGAAAAUUCCUGACAGCUUUCAUUUUAGCAGGUGGAGGAGAACUUAGCUAUUAAAGAUGUAAAAAGGCAGGAGAAGAUGCUAUUAAUGAUACUAAGUGCUUUUGAUGAGCCACAUGAUAUAACAGCUAAUAUUGAUUGAUCAGUCGCUAUGUUGUAAGGGCUUUAGAAGCAUUCUUAGAAUCUUCUCAACCCCUAUUUACACAUGAGGACAUUGAGGUUCAGAGAGGUUAAAGAACUUGCCGAAAGCCUUCCAUGUAAUAAAGGACUGAGUUGAUACUCAUGAAACUCUGUACCAGGCACCUCCCACUUGUCAGGGUGAUCUCACCAAGCAUGUCACUUACAUUAAAUUCUCACCACAACCUUAUGAGGGGGCUCUUAAUCCUCUCUUCUAGAUGGAGUUGAUGCUUAGCAAGGUUAUCUUGAGUGUCCAAGGCCACGUGAUUAGUAAGUAGCAGGGCCCUGCCUGUUUGACUUUGGAGCUUAGCUUUUAACCACUAGCCUUACUGGACACAGGUGAGAAAGCCUGGAACAGCCUGCUUCUCAUACACUGAGGCCCCAAAUGGGCCAGAGGGUGUGGGUAGAAUACAAAUCAUGUGUAUUCAAAAUAAUCAUUGAAUAGUCCCUGAAUUACUCUUGAAAUGUGAACAAGAUGCUGAUGUUUCAAAGGCCGUGACAUAGGAGCAAAGGAGUUGACACUGACUAGGAAAAGAGAAGAUCCAUGUUUGCUUUAUUCUGUCUCGCAUAGCACUUUCCCUCUUGGGCAACCACACUUUGGUGGCAAAAGAGGAUGGACAAGCCUAUGCUACUUAAUUUGCUCCUCUAUUCCUUUCUCUCCUCAUGUAUUGAGUUUGAAUUAAACAAAUAUACAUUGCAACUCUACUGGAUGUUCAUAUGGUUUGGCUAAAUUGAAUAUGACCUUCAAGUCAUAAAUUUUGUUAGCUUUUCUUCAAAGCAGUAUAAAUGUGCUUUUCUUUCUUUCUUUUUUGAGUUCUAAAUGACAGUGUUUUUAAAAGAAUAGAACUAGAGGACAAUUUUUUUUUGAGUGGGAGUUCUGGGACUACAGAGGUCUGGUUGUCCCUGGAAAAAUGUCCAGUUGUCCUAGAGGAUAUUCCAGUGGUUCUUAGACUAGGGAACAGUUUUGCCCCCCAGAAGACAUUCGGCAGUGUCUAGGGACAUUUUUGAUUUUCACAAAUGGGGAGGAGGAGGUGCUACUGGCGUCUAAUAGAGUCUUGAGAUGCUGCUCAACAUUCUGUAAUGCAUACGACCGUCCUCCGACGAUAGAAUUAUUCGGUUCAAAAUGUCAGUGGUGGUAAGACUGAGAAAGCCUGAGCUAUCCUAUGCUGAAAAAGAGAGAUCUGUGAUCCUGGAUGGUAGCUAUUGUUUGUGGUUCAAAUGGAGAUUUCUGCCCAAGUACCUCUUAAGGUCUUUUUGCACGAGCAUCCGGUACACAGUGGGAGGACUGCACAGGGUCGUGAUGGGAUAAGUAGUAAGUGUCUGGAUGAUGGAGAAAGACACAGAUGUCAGAAGUGGUCAUUCAAAGGCCAUGACUAGAGCUGAUAUCUACACCCUGUUAUUUUCUUCCAUUAAUAUGUGCCCAUCCCGUGGUCACUACUAGGAAUAAGAAAACAAUAUUUAUUACUUGUCACUAGUGACUGUAUAUCUGUUGGGAAUUUCCAAUUACUGAAAAGAAUGUAUAUAUAUUAAUAUUACAGUAACAGACAUACACAAUCUAAUUCAACAAGUGAAUUGCUUAAUUUGAGAACAACCCAAAGUAUGAACUGGUUUAUUCUUCCUCAGGGCUACAACUUACCUCUUAUAGUGUAAUCUUGUAACCUCCUGCCAAUAUAUUCAUGGAUAGUAUUGACUAUGGAUGUAUAAGCUAACCUACUGGGACCUUUCCAGCUCCAUUCCUAUAAAAUACAUUAGUCUUUUUCAGUAAGUUGAAUAAAUGUAGAAAUAAGCAUUUUUUUUGGCCUUUUCUUAAUUUUUAAAAAUUUGCUGAGUUCAUUAUGUCUCUGGUUUCUUAAAUAAGAUAUGGCCUAGGCAUCUUAAAUCUAGAGAAAUACUAAUGUUUUAGAGCUCCUCCUUCUGGAGAAGUUCCACUAUGUCCCUUAAUGUAUUGACAAUUUGUAUUAAACUUAAGUAUUUGGGAGAAGGCUCUCAAAAUGUAUGUCUGGGCUGCCUGGAUUGUCACAGAUAAAGUAUGAUGUUUGAUCGGUAAGUAAGCAUUUCUACCAUGUGUAUCUGCUCCGCAGAGUCUAAUUAUUUUUAGAAAGUGUAAUGUAUACACCUAAAAAUAGCAUAAAUCUAUAAAGGUUUUUAUAGCACUUAAAAUACACACAUGAUUUUUGUAAAAUAAAAGUAUUCUUAUUUUACAAAUGUAGGUUUUGAAACUGCAAAGUUAACUUACCAACUUUAGGGCACUUUGUAAACCUGAUGUAGAGAUCUCAGUUCUUAGGUUAGUGUACAUUUAUGUUAAGUAAGACCUUUUAACCAGGGAUCCCCAACCCAAAGGACAGACUGGUUUCUGUUUGUGGCCUAUUAGGAACUGGGCCACACAGCAGGAGGUGAGUGGCGGGGCAAGGUGAGCGAAGCUUCAUCUGUAUUUUUUUCUUUUUUUUUUUUUUUUGAGACGGAGUCUUGCUCUGUCACCCAGGCUGGAGUGCAGUAGUGUGAUCUCGGCUCACUGCAACCUCUGCCUCCCAGAUUCAAGCAAUUCUCUGCCUCAGCCUCCCAAGUAGCUGGGAUUACAGGCACCCACCACCAUGCCUGGCUAAUUAUUUGUAUUUUUAGUAGAGACGAGGUUUCACCAUCUUGGCCAGGCUGGUCUUGAACUCCUGACCUCGUGAUCCACCUGCUUCAGCCUCCCAAAGUGCUGGGAUUAUGCCUGCUUUAUCUGUAUUUAUAGCCACUCCCCAUUGCCCGCAUUACCACCUGAGCUCCGCCUCCUGUCAGGUCAAUGGUGGCAUUAGAUUCUCAUAGGAGCCUGAACCCUAUUGUGAACUGUGCAUGUGAGGGAUCUAGGUUGUGUGCUCCUUAAGAGAAUCUAAUGCCUGAUGAUCUGUCACUAUCUCCCAUCACCCCCAGAUGGGACUGUCUAGUUGCAGGAAAACAAUCUCAGGGCUUCCACUGAUUCUACAUUAUGGUGACUUGUAUAAUUAUUUCGUUAUACAUUAUAAUUUAAUAAUAAUAGAAAUAAAGUACACAAUAAAUGUAAUGUACUUGAAUCAUCCUGAAAUUAUCUCCCCGCUCCCCCUAGUCCAUGGGAAAAUUGUCUUCCACGAAUCCAGUCCCUGGUACCAAAAAGGUUGCAGACUGCUGCCUUAAACCAUCUUGUCAGACCAUUUAGCAAAAUAACAGGUGAAGAGCUUUUAUUCACACACAGGUAUGGUUUGUAUGUAAUAAUAUGUAUUUUGUUAAACUUAAUAAAUUUGCCAUGGUUGAAAAAUAA